rnacentral:rRNA from 1 species
AUUGAACGCUGGCGGCAUGCCUUACACAUGCAAGUCGAACGGCAGCGCGGACUUCGGUCUGGCGGCGAGUGGCGAACGGGUGAGUAAUACAUCGGAACGUACCCUGUCGUGAGGGAUAACUAGUCGAAAGAUUAGCUAAUACCGCAUACGACCUGAGGGUGAAAGUGGGGGACCGCAAGGCCUCAAGCAGCAGGCGCGGCCGAUGUCUGAUUAGCUAGUUGGUGGGGUAAAGGCCAACCAAGGCGACGAUCAGUAGCUGGUCUGAGAGGACGAUCAGCCACACUGGGACUGAGACACGGCCCAGACUCCUACGGGAGGCAGCAGUGGGGAAUUUUGGACAAUGGGGGCAACCCUGAUCCAGCAAUGCCGCGUGUGUGAAGAAGGCCUUCGGGUUGUAAAGCACUUUUGUCCGGAAAGAAAUCGCGCUGGUUAAUACCUGGCGUGGAUGACGGUACCGGAAGAAUAAGCACCGGCUAACUACGUGCCAGCCGCCGCUGUAA